rnacentral:sRNA from 1 species
AUUCUGCCCAUGCGGGGAAGGAUGAGAAGCUUCGACCAAGGUUCGACUCGAGCGCCAGCGAGAGAGCGUGGCCGCGGCAACGACCCGAAGGGCGAAGCGCGCAGCGCUGAGUAAUCCUUCCCCCACCACCA